rnacentral:tRNA from 1 species
GCUGGGAUAGCUCAGCUGGUAGAGCACAAGACACUUAAUCUCAGGAUUGUGGGUUCAAGCCCCACAUCUGUGCA